rnacentral:lncRNA from 1 species
UUUUUUUUUUUUUUUUAACUGUCGCAAAACAUCAUCCAAUGCUUCUAUUGCCUGGUAAACAGCCUCAUUAUGCAUCACACGGGCACACGUUUCACGUGAGCCCGACUCUUAGGCGUGCUAACUACAACAUUACUCAAUUGACAGUACGUAACAAGUACAGAGGACCAUGAAAGUUUCUUGGAACUGACGCAGCGGCAAGCGCAACAACACGCAUCAACGCCUACUUCGCAUGGUCCUUACUCUCAUCAAUUUUGCCACGUCCUUCCUGAGGCUUCAGCGAUCAAUUGUGCAAGAAGGAGCGAUAGGCUGGCAAAAGCAACAAACAUCGUUGGUUUAAUCCGCUCCUCAUAGCAAGAAGAGGGAAAAAGAAAUAUCAAAUAUAAAGCAUUAAAACUAUACCGGAGAGUGAGAAGCGAAUGUGGGCCGAAUGGACGGAAUGACGUCGAAUGAGGGAGUAAUGGAAGGCUACAGUACUCCCAAACCGAUACUUCAUGGCUGCGAAGAAGAAGCAGAAGAGCAGCAGAACGUUCAACAAUGAGAAUGCUUCAAUUGAGCUAUUCCUACAGUGUUAGGAGAGAACGGGGAGAGAGAUGGAGACAGAGAGACACUGGAAAUAAAUGACGUCAGUUCAACUCUAAGCCCAUUCAUCCAAAACUCUAUUCAUCCAUCCGUCUC